CAGAGUUGCAAAACUCCUAACCAUUGUGAACCUACCUCACCGUUGCUUCGGCGGGUGGCCCGGGGCAACCCAGGCCGCGCCGGCUCCUCUUUAGGGGCCCGGCAAACCCGUCAGAGGACCGAAACUCUUCGUCAUCAGUGGCCUCUCUGAGUAACUUAUACAAUAAGUCA
rnacentral:misc_RNA from 1 species